UACGUAGGGUGCAAGCGUUGUCCGGAAUUAUUGGGCGUAAAGAGCUCGUAGGCGGUUUGUUGCGUCGGCUGUGAAAUCCCGAGGCUCAACCUCGGGUCUGCAGUCGAUACGAGCAAACUAGAGUGUUGCAGGGGAGACUGGAAUUCCUGGUGUAGCGGUGAAAUGCGCAGAUAUCAGGAGGAACACCGGUGGCGAAGGCGGUGAUCUGGGCCGACACUGACGCUGUAGAGCGAAAGCGUGGGGAGCGAACAGG
rnacentral:rRNA from 1 species